rnacentral:rRNA from 1 species
CCUACGGGUGGCAGCAGUGGGGAAUAUUGGACAAUGGGCGAAAGCCUGAUCCAGCCAUGCCGCGUGUGUGAAGAAGGCCUUCGGGUUGUAAAGCACUUUCAGUGGGGAAGAAAGCCUUGGGGCUAAUACCCUCGAGGAAGGACAUCACCCACAGAAGAAGCACCGGCUAACUCCGUGCCAGCAGCCGCGGUAAUACGGAGGGUGCGAGCGUUAAUCGGAAUUACUGGGCGUAAAGCGCGCGUAGGCGGUCUGAUAAGCCGGUUGUGAAAGCCCCGGGCUCAACCUGGGAACGGCAUCCGGAACUGUCAGGCUAGAGUGCGGGAGAGGAAGGUAGAAUUCCCGGUGUAGCGGUGAAAUGCGUAGAGAUCGGGAGGAAUACCAGUGGCGAAGGCGGCCUUCUGGACUGACACUGACGCUGAGGUGCGAAAGCGUGGGUAGCAAACAGGAUUAGAUACCCGAGUAGUC